UGGCUCAGGAUGAACGCUGGCGGCGUGCUUAACACAUGCAAGUCGAGGGGCAGCAUGGUCUUAGCUUGCUAAGGCCGAUGACGACCGGCGCACGGGUGAGUAACACGUAUCCAACCUGCCGUCUACUCUUGGACAGCCUUCUGAAAGGAAGAUUAAUACAAGAUGGCAUCAUGAGUCCACAUGUUCACAUGAUUAAAGGUAUUCCGGUAGACGAUGGGGAUGCGUUCCAUUAGAUAGUAGGCGGGGUAACGGCCCACCUAGUCUUCGAUGGAUAGGGGUUCUGAGAGGAAGGUCCCCCACAUUGGAACUGAGACACGGUCCAAACUCCUACGGGAGGCAGCAGUGAGGAAUAUUGGUCAAUGGGCGAGAGCCUGAACCAGCCAAGUAGCGUGAAGGACGACUGCCCUAUGGGUUGUAAACUUCUUUUAUAAAGGAAUAAAGUCGGGUAUGCAUACCCGUUUGCAUGUACUUUAUGAAUAAGGAUCGGCUAACUCCGUGCCAGCAGCCGCGGUAAUACGGAGGAUCCGAGCGUUAUCCGGAUUUAUUGGGUUUAAAGGGAGCGUAGAUGGAUGUUUAAGUCAGUUGUGAAAGUUUGCGGCUCAACCGUAAAAUUGCAGUUGAUACUGGAUAUCUUGAGUGCAGUUGAGGCAGGCGGAAUUCGUGGUGUAGCGGUGAAAUGCUUAGAUAUCACGAAGAACUCCGAUUGCGAAGGCAGCCUGCUAAGCUGCAACUGACAUUGAGGCUCGAAAGUGUGGGUAUCAAACAGGAUUAGAUACCCUGGUAGUCCACACGGUAAACGAUGAAUACUCGCUGUUUGCGAUAUACAGCGAGCGGCCAAGCGAAAGCGUUAAGUAUUCCACCUGGGGAGUACGCCGGCAACGGUGAAACUCAAAGGAAUUGACGGGGGCCCGCACAAGCGGAGGAACAUGUGGUUUAAUUCGAUGAUACGCGAGGAACCUUACCCGGGCUUAAAUUGCAGAUGAAUUACGGUGAAAGCCGUAAGCCGCAAGGCAUCUGUGAAGGUGCUGCAUGGUUGUCGUCAGCUCGUUCCGUGAGGUGUCGGCUUAAGUGCCAUAACGAGCGCAACCCUUGUUGUCAGUUACUAACAGGUCAUGCUGAGGACUCUGACAAGACUGCCAUCGUAAGAUGUGAGGAAGGUGGGGAUGACGUCAAAUCAGCACGGCCCUUACGUCCGGGGCUACACACGUGUUACAAUGGGGGGUACAGAGGGCCGCUACCACGCGAGUGGAUGCCAAUCCCAAAAACCUCUCUCAGUUCGGACUGGAGUCUGCAACCCGACUCCACGAAGCUGGAUUCGCUAGUAAUCGCGCAUCAGCCACGGCGCGGUGAAUACGUUCCCGGGCCUUGUACACACCGCCCGUCAAGCCAUGAAAGCCGGGGGUACCUGAAGUGCGUAACCGCAAGGAGCGCCCUAGGGUAAA
rnacentral:rRNA from 1 species